GUAGCCCAGCCGCCGUUCGACCCCAGGACAGCAGCCCCGACAUUGCUCGACAUCCACAACAGUUUGUGUGACUGGAGUCAACCUCUAUUCUCCGACGAGUGGAUUCUUCCUUCUCAGGCGACAACACCUCAGGUGCACUACGGAUUCUCCAGCUAAUUAUGAAGUUCGUUCUUUUGAUAGCUUCUUUGAAGUGUUCCACAUUUUUACCAUCAUGGUUAGUAGAUGGUAACAUAAUCUCUACAAAGAUCAAGAGUGCAUCUAGCAACCAUGAUCUUGAAAGAAUUAAUUGGAAAAGCAACCCAGCUAGAGCCUGUCCUAAUUGUGAAUUUGUGAUUGACAACAAUGAAGUAAGAUUUCCACUAUUUCUUUAUCCUCUGUGUACUUGGGAGAAUUAGAAAGAUGACAGAGAAAAGGGAAUC